rnacentral:lncRNA from 10 species
CUCUCGAACUACUAACCUCAGGUGGGAUAACUGUUUGAGUCCAGGAGGUAGAAACUGCAGUGAACUGUGAUUGCACCACUGCACUCCAAUCUGGGUGACAGAAUGAGACCCUGUCUCAAAAAAAAAAAAAAAAAUUAGAAAUAAGACUUAGUAAAACAAUAAAAGCUAAAUAGAUAAUAUGUGAAAUUUAUCCAGUAGCAGGAAUGGUCCCUGGGACCUUUAAGAAGCAGAUGGCGGUAUUCAAUUUUAAGUUGCUUGCAGAGUCCUUGCUACCCCAAACCUUCCUGCAAAUCAGCUACACAUAACAGUGAGUCAGUGACCUUUAGGAAAGAAAAGGGAUUGGGGUCACGGCCAGAGGUACAAUGACAAGGUACAAAAAAGGAUAGGGAUGGAUUUCAUAACCUAGUUUAAACGCAGUGGGGAAAUAAAUUCAGGAAAUAAAUCAGGUAAGUAGGAGAAAAGUUCACCAAGUACUUCCAGAGAUACUUGGAGAGACACUGGAUUUCACAGGGACAUGGCGUAGGGGUUCAAUCCAGCUUCACUUCUAUCUUAAAGGUCAAGUUAACGAGUAAGUUGGAGGACUUUGAAAAUCCAAGUAAAAAAUUGUCACUAGCCUGUGACAAUAGGGAUGAGAGAAAUAAAAACUUCGCAGUUGGCCAAAAAGGUUGACAGUGAUUCUAAUAACUGAAUUAAAGUGGUGUGGCCCUUAAAGUUUAUCAAAUUCCAUUUAUUCACUCAUAAUUGCACUAUUUUCAUGGAAAGUCUUAGUCUCCUAAAACAUUGAGAGGAUAUACCAUGGAACUAGAUGGCAAACUUGGUUUGGUUGGUUUUUGUAAUCUUUACCAUUGCUAGAAAGUUAGAAAAGGGUGGCUUCACUUCAGCAGAAAUUUUGAAAAAUUCGUGGAACCAGAAGAAACCCAAUCUAAAAGAAAUACAAGAGAACAUUUUCGCAGAGUUUUAAGUGCAAUUUCAAAGAAAAUUCAAACUUAGAAUCAAAUUCAAAGAGGAGGCAGCACCCCAAAGCAACAUUUUUUGUUUUAUUGAGGUAUAAUUUACAUACAACAAAGCUCACCAUUUUAAGUGUACCACUAGAUGAGUUGUUGACAAAUGUAGACAGCCAUGAAACCACCAUGAAACCAGAAUCAUAGAACAUUUCCAUCAUUUCAGAAAAUUCCAUUAUGCCCUUUUACAGUCAAUCUCUUCCAUUCACCCCUGACCUCUGUCAACCACUGAGUGUUUUCUGUCACUAUAAUUGUACAUUUCUAGGGCUUUAUAUAAAUGGAAUCAUAUGUAGUCACUGUGUCUGAUGUCUUUCGUUUAGCAUAAUGCUUUUGAGAUCUUUUUAUGGCUCAGUAAUAUUCCAUUGUGUGGAUGUGUACUACAUCUUGGUUUUGUCCUUUACCAAUUGAUGGAUGUUUAGGUUGUUACUAGUUUUAGGCUAUCACAAAUAAAGCUGCUAUGAACAUUCAAAUACAAGUUUUUAUUUUAAACAUAGGUUUUAAAUUCUCUUGGAUAAUUACCUAUGAGUAGGAUUACUGAGUUGUAUGAUACAUGAAUGCUUAACUUUCUAAGAAACUGAUAACCUAUUUUCCAAAGAAGCUGUACCCUUUCAUACCCCUCCAGCAAUGUAUGAGAGUUCCAGCUGCUUCACAUCCUUGCCAAUACUUGGUAUUGCCAGUCACUUUAAUUGCAGCCAUCCUGGUGCGUGUUAGUAGUACAUCAUUGUGGUUUUAGUGUGCAUUUCCCUAAUGACUAAUAAUGUUGAGUCUUUUCAUAAGCUUAUUUCAAAUUCAUAUGUCUGCUUAGGUGGAAUGUCUAUUAAAAAGUCUUUUGCCCAUUUUUUAUAUCAAGUUGCCAUCUUACUGAGUUGUAAUUUUUUCAGUAUUCUGCAUACAAGUCCUUUUAACAGAUAUGUUUUGCAAAUAUUUUUCUUCCAAUCUGCAGCUUGCAUUUUCAUUUCUUUAAUGGUUUUCAUAAAAGAGAAAACAUUUUUAAUGUUGAUAAUUUAAUUGGCAAUGUUUUUCUUUUAUGAUUCAUGCUUUUAGUGUCCUAAGAAAGUUUGCUUUAUCCAAGUACAAAAAGAUUUUCUCCUGUGUUUUCUUUAGAAGUUUUGUAAUUCUAGCUCUUAAAAUUUAGAUCUAUAUUCCACUUCGAGAUGAUUUUUGUGUAUGAUAUAAGGUAAUGAUCCAGGAUUGUUCUGUUUGUUCUUAUGGAUAUUCAAUUGUUCGAGCACCAGUUGUUGGAAAGAUUAGCUUACUCGUUGAAUUUUCUUGGCCCCUGUUUUUUUUUGUUGUUUUUAUUUUGUAGACGGAGUCUCGCUUUGUCGCCCAGCCUGGAGGGCAGUGGCGCGAUCUCAGCUCACCGCAACCUCCGCCUCCCGGGUUCAAAUGAUUCUCCUGCCUCAGCCUCCCGAGUAGCUGGGACUACAGGCGCGUGCUACCACGCCUGGCUAAUUUUUUGUAUUUUUACUAUUUCAAGACCUC